CAAGCAUUGCCUCCUGAGGAUGCCACCUCCCCAGUGGAGAAUAUUUCCAUUUAAGCCAGUUGUCCCUUUUUUCCUUUUUCAAGUGAUGGACCAAAAGGCUGUUCAGGAGGAGGAACACUCAGGGAGAAGCAGUGGCUCAUUGGCAGCCCCUGCAGCAGAAAGGAAGGCGAUGCCAGACACGGGCACAGGCACAGCAGAUGCAGCCAGUACCACAAGUCCAGUUCCCAAUGCCCUGGAUGGCCUCGGAAGGGGUUUCUGUCAGGGAACAGGCUGCUGGCUAAGGUUACUGGAAGGCGUCCUUUGUUUGGAGCUUGUCUUCAUGUUGUGCUGCUUAGGAAUCGGGUAUUCCUGGAAGACAAAACAGAGCACCUCGGGACAGGAGUUGGAAGACGGUGGCUGCACCUCACAGCCAGACAGCGUGAGCAGCUCCUCCAGCAGCAGGAACGGCCUGGACAGCCCUCUCAAGUCUUCUGUGAAGAGGACCCCAGAACAACCGUGUACACAGAAGCCUCUUAUUGCCCCGUAGAUCCCACUGCCACCUGCUCUCCUCAUGGGCCUCCCCAAGCUGCCUUCAUCUUUUUUUUUUCUCUCCGUCUGUCCCAUCCCAACCAACCCGAGUUCCUCUAGGGACCCCAGGACCAGCCCAGCACCUUCCAGCACCUCCUGAGACCAACACAUCCCUUCCUCUGCCCCUGAGCCCCCUGGCCUGGCCCUCUAGGCAACACUGAAGAUGACACCCCACCCCACCCCCACCCUCCUACCCGCUCCAACUCCCGCUUGCAGGGUAGGCAAUGGCCCAUUCCUCUGUGUUCAAAUAAAGAGAUGGAUUUGUGUCCUAGUUUGAAAGCAAAACCAGUGAGAGGGUCCAAGUCAGAAAUACAGUUUAUUAGGAAAAGGGAAAAAACCCCAAAACACAGGCAAUAAUACAAAAGAAAAACCACUGACAGGGUCAGAAUACAGCCGCCUGACACCCUGCUAGUUAGGGUGGUGGUAGCAGUCCAGAUGAAAUGGACUUGUGGAAGUGGUGAUCCUGUAGAAACAAUCUGGUAGCU